rnacentral:lncRNA from 1 species
UGCCCGAACUUGCUCCGGCAACCCUUUCCAGAACACGAAGCAUUGUCUGUGACAGGGCAUCAUCCUCGGCGGCCCGAUCAUACGGCCCAUUCUCAUCCGUCGGUGGUGGUCGUGCUACUCCAGUGGGUAUGUGUUCAGAAGGCGAAGAUCCAGCUUGAGUACCACCUCGGCCUCGACCACGGCCUCUUCCCCGAGUAGCACUCGUAC